GUGCCUUCGGGAACCGCGAGACAGGUNGCUGCAUGGCUGUCGUAGCUGUGUUGUGAAAUGUUGGGUUAAGUCCCGCAACGAGCGCAACCCUUAUCCUUUGUUGCCAGCGGUCCGGCCGGGAACUCAAAGAGAGACUGCCAGUGAUAAACUGGAGGAAGGUGGGGAUGACGUCAAGUCAUCAUGGACCCUUACGACCAGGGCGACACACGUGCUACAAUGGCGCAUACAAAGAGAAGCGAACCUCGCGAGAGCAAGCGGACCUCAUAAAGUGCGUCGUAGUCCGGAUUGGAGUCUGCAACUCGACUCCAUGAAGUCGGAAUCGCUAGUAAUCGUGGAUCAGAAUGCCACGGUGAAUACGUUCCCGGGCCUUGUACACACCGCCCGUCACACCAUGGGAGUGGGUUGCAAAAGAAGUAGGUAGCUUAACCUUCGGGAGGGCGCUUACCACUUUGUGAUUCAUGACUGGGGUGAAGUCGUAACAAGGUAACCGUAGGGGAACCUGCGGUUGGAUCACCUCCUUA
rnacentral:rRNA from 1 species